rnacentral:rRNA from 1 species
GACGAACGCUGGCGGCGUGCUUAACACAUGCAAGUCGAACGAGUGGCGAACGGGUGAGUAAUACGUGGGUAACCUGCCCUCGUUGUGGGAUAAGCCUUGGAAACGGGGUCUAAUACCGAAUAAAGGGGGAUGGGCUGGCGGCCUAUCAGCUGGUUGGUGGGGUGCUGGCCUACCAAGGCGGGGACGGGUGGCCGGCCUGAGAGGCUGACCGGCACCGUGGCGAGGGACAGACGGCUCAGAGUGGCACGAGAGGCAGAAGUGGGGCAUAUGGCACAAUGGACGAACGCCUGAUGCAGGGACGCGGCGUGGGCGAUGAAGGCGUUCGGGUUGUACAGCGCGGACGCUAUCGAACCGGUAGCUGGAGAAGAAGCACCGGCUAACUACGUGCCAGCAGCCGCGGUAAUAC